GUAUCGGGUAUCGGUAUCGGGUAUCGGUAUUGGGUAUCGGUAUCGGGUAUCGGUGCAUCUCUACUAACUUUUCUCAUUAUCUGAGUUAAACAUUAAAAACACGUUUCUCCUCUUUAAGAGUGAUAAAUAAGUUAAUUGUCUUGACAACUGAAUGGAAACACGACGAGUGACACAGAACAUUAGACGUCUUCACCUCCGUCACCGACAUGGAUUCUAAGCUGAUCUAUUUGCGUCACCUUCUUCCCUUAAACCCUUUAAAGCCAUAAAACGUCACCGCUGAUGAUCAGAGGACUUUGUGCCGUUGAGCAAAGCGUGGAACGUCCCGUCUGCUGCAGAAUGUAAAACUCUCUCUGCCUCCUUCCAGGAGCAUUAAAGGUCAAACCUGAGUGGGGAUGUCCGUCACGCUGUCGCCUCCUGCAGGUGAAUCCCAGCAGCUGCAGGUAGAACUCUAACAACACCUUCCAGCUGCUGGUUUCUUCCUCAGAGCGUCCUCAGAGUGUCUCUGAACCUUUUGUUCUUUAAAAACUGGACUGUUGUUUUCUGUGUUGUCUCUCUUUAGUUCUUUAGUGUGGUUUUAUUUUGAAAGUCUGUUUGUUCUCACCUCCUUCCUGUCGUUGGCUCUCAGGUGAAUCUUCUGGCUUCAGUUUCUCUGCACGGAAACACACGAAUAACACAUUUAGUCAAAGUGAGAUUAAAGUAGUGAAUCUAUUUAUAUUAAAGAUUACAUUUUAACCUUAAUAUCAACGAGUAUCUAUUCCUGUCAGUCCAGCUGAGCAAUGUUCAGGUUGAAGGUUCAUUUAAAGAUUAGCUGAAUGAUUUUAGUUUAGUUUAGUUCCAGAGUCCAACGUGCUGAAACAGAGAAACGUACUGCAGACACUCACACAACCUUUAAACGAUGAAACUAACAACUACAAAGGUUUCUUUUGGUUCUGAAACAUCUGGAAUCUGCAGCCCGUUGAGCUCUUUGUUCACAUGUUGCUGCUGAAGAAGCUUCACAUUCACAAACCUGAAUCUGAAACGUGGACCGGGCUGCAGAGAACGCUGACUGCUUUCUGCUUUUAUUGAUCCUUUGGGGGCAGAUUUGAAUUCUAAAGAACCAAACUGAGCCGUGAAAUCUGAUUGGCUGAUUGGUUGAUCUUCUCUUUGCAGUUAGUCUCUACCUUUAGUUGUGAAUGUUUCUCAUAUAAACGACUGUACAGAUCAAUAAUCAAUAAUCAAUAUGUAAACUGAUGAUAUUUUACAAAUUAAACAACUGAUGCAGAACCUGAAGAAACUCUGUGAUGGUUUCAUUUGGUCUGAUGUUUGUGAUCUCUGCCGAGUCGGACUCAGAGACGAGGAGCUGAAGAUGAAGGUUUCAGCCAGCGGAGGGCGCCGUCGUCGUUUCUCUUUGACUUCAACACCUGAUGAGAGUUAAUCUGACCUGAGACACUUGACGAGAGUUAAUCUGACCUGAGACACCUGACGAGAGUUAAUCUGACCUGAGACACCUGACGAGAGUUAAUCUGACCUGAGACACCUGACGAGAGUUAAUCUGACCUGAGACACCUGACGAGAGUUAAUCUGACCUGAGACACCUGACGAGAGUUAAUCUGACCUGAGACACCUGACGAGAGUUAAUCUGACCUGAGACACCUGAUGAGAGUUAAUCUGACCUGAGACACCUGAUGAGAGUUAAUCUGACC